AGUCGUAACAAGGUUUCCGUAGGUGAACCUGCGGAAGGAUCAUUACUAAAUCCAAAUAUUAUCAUCAUGUUGAAACGUGUGUUGAUUGCUUGUGCGUGUUUUAAUGGUGUGGUGCGUGUGGGUGUGAGAUAGGCGCCAUUUAAUUGGUCGCCCAGCCACCCCCUCGUCUCCUUUCACGGUGGCGCGCACAAGCAAGCAAACAAAUAUAAACGAUGGACGUGCCAAUGGACAAUAUAUAAUCAUAACAUAAAAAGCAUAACUUUUAACAAUGGAUCUCUUGGCUCUU
rnacentral:misc_RNA from 1 species